GUGUUAUUGAGUUUUUCAAGCUUAAAUGUUUCAAGCGUAAUAGAAGUUCUAACAUGGUAUCCUCUGUACAUGGCCUUUUAGAAACACAAAUGGAAGCUUCUGAGGAAUAACCUUGAUGUUCUCGUUUACACUUGGGCAAGAUGUCUGUUGUCUUUACCUUUUUGGGUUUGAAAUGGUAUGGAUGAACCUUCCGUAGAUGUUUCUGCAUUCCUCUUGCAUUUUUGUACGUGGAGCCACAGCCAUCAAAACCACAGGUUUUCUGCAGUUUCUGUAUCUAUCUGAGUAGUUGCAGAUUCUGCACAGAAGAGAAGAUCCUCAGAGCCUUAAGCUGUCGCCUUGGGUAGAGUACUGGGGCAUCACAGCUCACCGCAACCUCCGACUCCUGGGCUCAAGUGACUCUCUUGCCUCCGCCUCCCAAGCAGAUGGAACUACAGGCGCCUGCCAGAAUGCCCGGCUAUGUUUUUUUUUUCUUUUUGGUUGCGGCCUUCAUUGUUGUUUGUUGGGUUUAGGCUGGAUCCGAACCUGCCAGCUCAGGUGUAUGUAGCUGGUGCCUUAGCUGCUUGAGCCACAGGCGCCGAAACCUUUCACACUAAUUUUAAAGUCUUGGGAGAUACCCUCAAUUUAAAAGUUAUCCCUUCCAUUUAUGACUUUCUCAAGUCACGCAAUCAAAGUUUAACUAUUCUAAGCAUCUUUAAGGUCUUUGUAGGAAACUGAAGCCCAGAAAAUAAAGAGGUACUAUAAAUGCCCACAAAGGCUCUUCAGCAUCAUUAACCUUUCCCAUCCUAAGGGCUAUGUGAACAGUUAUUGGCUAUCUCCUAAUAUCCUUUUCUCCUUCUAAAAAAACAUCUGAUUUUUAAAUGGUUAUAAAGUCAUAUAUAAUAAUAAGCACACUCAUAGCCUCAGUUGCAGCUACAUGUGGGUGUGGGUGUGUGUCUUGGGAGAACAGGGAGAGGUGUCUCAUAGUUUGGCUUCCUCUCACAUUAUAGAUGGGAUUGGAAUACAAGAUAGAAGCUAUGUGUUGAUGGAAGAUAAAAGGAACCUGGAUUUCUGAUAUUCUGAUAUGUGGAUCCACUAAAGCAACCUGGUCUACCUGAACAAUAUUCCUGUAUGAGAGAGGGAGAAACUUCUAUUUCUUUAGGCCACUACUGUUAUGAGAUGUCUGAUACUCAUAAUAGAAACAGAUCCCAGAUCCCAACUCAUAUAGUCUAGAUUAUCUCUCUUAGAAAAUCCAGAGUCUUGUUUUGAAAAGAAUCCUGGCCUGGCACCCAUAGCUCAGUGGGUAGGGCACCAGGCACAUAUACCAAGGCAGGCAGGUUUGAACCCAGCCUGGGCCUGUUAAACAACAGUGACAAUUGCAACAAAAAAAUACCCAGGCGUUGUGGUGGGUGCGUGUAGUCCCUGCUACUUGGGAGGCUGAGGCAAAAAGAAUCCCUUAAGUCUAAGAGUUUGAGGUUGCUGUGAGAUGUGACACCACAGCACUCUACCCAGGGUAAUAUAGUGAGACUCUGUCUAAAAAAAAAAGAGAAAAGAAAAAAGAAAAGACCCUAUACUCACUCUGCUUCUACCCUUCAGACCAAAUAUCAUAAAUAAAUAUUAUGGUAGAAAGUACCUUAGAUGAGGAUAUAAGAGAAAUGGCUGACAGACAGCAAAUUCCUUCAUCUGUUUCAGAAACCUGCUUCCCCUAACCUUCUAGCACCUUUUCCAUUUCCUGUGUGGUUCCCUGUGGUAAGAAUUCUUCUGUGACCCCCAGUGACCCUUCACCGCUCUUCCCCUUGAGUGUAGGUUAAAACUAUAUAGAUAUGAUAAUAUUCCUGUGAUUAAGUUAUGGCAAAGGGGACUUUGCAGAUGUAAUUGAAGUCUUAAAUCAGUUCAUGUUAAGGUAGAUGGAUUAUCCAGGUGGUUCUGGGCUAAUCAACUGAUCCCUUCAAAUCUGAGCCUAGAAGUCAUAAAUGGAGGAUGUUGCAUUGGAAGCACAAGAAUCUGUCGCACCUUUGUUGAUUAAAAAUGGAAGUAAGCAAUAAAGGGGUAGCUUCCAGAAGCUGCGAAAAGCCCCUGGGGACAGCCAGCAAGAAAAUGAAGACUGUAGUCCUAUAACCAAAUGGAACAAUUCUGUCAACAAGAAUAAGCCAGAAAGUAGACUUUCUACAGAGCCUCUGAUGAGAAUGUAGCCUGGGCAAUACCUUGAUUUUAGCUUUGUGAUCAUCUAAGAUGGCAAUGUAGCCCCGUGGUACUGGAUUUGUGACCUGCAGAACUGUGAGCUAAUAAAAAUAGGCAUUGUUUUAAGUGCUAAGUUUGUGUAACAUACUAUAUAGCAACAAGAAAUUAAAAUGUCUGUUAAAGAAGAAAAAGGCGGCUUGGCGCCUGUGGCUUAAGCGGCUAAGGUACCAGCCACAUACACCUGAGCUGGUAGGUUUGAAUCUAGCCCAGGCCCACCAAACAAUGACGGCUGCAACCAAAAAUAGCCAGGCGUUGUGGCGGGUGCCUGUAGUCCCAGCUACUUGGGAGGCAGAGGCAGGAGAAUUGCUUGAGCCCA